CCCGGUUUACGUUGAAGUCUCUGUCCUGCUGCAGCUGAAUAAACCUGUCUUGCUAUGCCCAGUGCAAAAACUUUCUUUUAUAUGGGAGACAAGUUAUGACUGAGAUCCUGACAGCAUCGAUGUAAAGGAAGUCAUCAUUGUUCACGCAUGCGCAUUCCAGUCCACUCUCCUUGUGCUGAGUAAUAUCUCGAUAUCUGCAUGUGCAACAGUUCAUCCAUUCACUUACUGAAGGACAUCUUGGAUGCUCCUGAGGUUUGGCAAUUAUAAAAAAAGUUGCUGUAGACAUCCAUGAUAAGUAUUUGUGUGGACACAUACCUUUCCUAUGGAGCAGAAGUUUUCCAUUAUAAUGAAGUCCAGCUUAUCAACAUUUUUUCUUGAAUCAUGUCUUUAGUAUAUAUAAAAGGACAUCACUGUACCCAAGAUCAUGUAGGUUUUUGCCGAUAUUAUCUUCUAUGAGUUUGAUAGUUUGCAUUUUGCAGUUGGUUCUACGAUCCAUUUUGAGUUAAUUUUUGUGAAAGGUGUGAAAUCUGUGUCCAGAUUUUAAUUUUCUUUGCAUAUGGAUGUCCAAUUGUUCCAGCAUCAUUUAUUGA